ensembl:miRNA
GUAUUAGGUUGGUGCAAAGGUAAUUGCAGUUUUUGCCAUUAAAAUAAUGUCAAAACACGCAAUUACCUUUGCACCAACUUAAUA